rnacentral:rRNA from 1 species
UCGGGAAUUUUGGGCAAUGGGCGAAAGCCUGACCCAGCAACGCCGCGUGAAGGAUGAAGUAUUUCGGUAUGUAAACUUCGAAAGAAUAGGAAGAAUAAAUGACGGUACUAUUUAUAAGGUCCGGCUAACUACGNGCCAGCAGCCGCGGUAAUACGUAGGGACCAAGCGUUGUUCGGAUUUACUGGGCGUAAAGGGCGCGUAGGCGGCAAUUCAAGUCAUCUGUGAAAUCUCCGGGCUUAACUCGGAACGGUCAGAUGAUACUGCUUUGCUAGAGUGCAGAAGGGGCAAUCGGAAUUCUUGGUGUAGCGGUGAAAUGCGUAGAUAUCAAGAGGAACACCUGAGGUGAAGACGGGUUGCUGGGCUGACACUGACGCUGAGGCGCGAAAGCCAGGGGAGCAAA